UACGAAGGGGGCGAGCGUUAUUCGGAAUCACUGGGCGUAAAGCGUGCGUAGGCUGUUUUGUAAGUCAGGAGUGAAAGCCCGAGGCUCAACCUCGGAAUUGCUUUUGAAACUACAAGACUUGAAUCUCGGAGAGGACAGCGGAAUUUCCAGUGUAGCAGUGAAAUGCGUAGAUAUUGGAAGGAACACCAGUGGCGUAAGCGGCUGUCUGGACGAGUAUUGACGCUGAGGCACGAAAGCGUGGGGAUCAAACAGG
rnacentral:rRNA from 1 species